UUUGUUGGGUGUCACCCAUGAACCUUGAUAUGGAUGAAGAAUAGACUAUUUCCUUCCCUAGAAAGGAAAUAGAUAAAAAGGAAAAUUUUUUAUGUAACCAGUGGAAAUCUGGAGAGCAUAUCAGGCAUGUGGCCAAACCAGGGAAAAGUGAGAGUAAAGUGUGAGUAGUACUUUCUCCUGACUAAACUGCUUAAAUUUAGGAUUUGUUCUUAAUACUCAGAAACCUCACACUAAAUGAAUUAAUAUAAAAAUAAUAUAAAAUUGGUUGUCAGAAGUGGAACUCCAACAGAGAAAAAGAAACUAUGAAAAUGUUUAGGGCAACAGGGUAAAUGAUCCUAUUCAGAUUUCUAAGGCGAACACGGGGUUGAUGACACACUGAAUUUGAAAGUGGAAAUUAGAAUAUUAAUUUGUGAAACUGGAGAUGUGGGAGCUGUGAUUCCAGCUACUGCUACUUGGAAGAUGAAUUGGAGAAAAUAAGCAAGAAAAAGGUCAUUGGCAGGCAAGUAUCUAAAUGCUCUUUUUGAUUAAAACAAAAAUACAGUCAAAGGAAUCACUUCAUAACUCAAAACCCUAUCAAACAAGAGAUCAAAUGUUACAGUCAAAUAGCCAGUGGAUUUUUCUUUUUUCAUAGUUUGUAAAUAUCAGAAAGAAAAUGAACAAUGUCUACAAUGACUGUAUAUGCUGAUAUGAACUAUAAAAUAAAUGUCAGAAUUAUGAUACUGAGUAAAGUUUUCUAUUCUACAUUUUCCUUAUGUGUUAAAUUCAAAAUGUCUGUAAAAAAAAGAAAAGAAUAAAUGAAAAUGAAAUAAUGUACAUACUUCUCUUUCAUACAUUGCCAUGGAAGAACCAUCUGUAAACUUGUCAGGAGGCCAAAGUUUUCAUAAGCGUGCCUACUAGUGACCAUGCAGACUGCGGAAAAGAAGGAGGCCACCACGUGGGGAGCACUUUUUGCUUGCUUUAAAUAUGUGAUGCCAUAUAAGCAUGAUAAAGCUUGAGUAAGUUGAGUGAAUUAUUGCCACUUUAUAGCUGAAGACAGCAAAGCUCAGAGAACUUCACAUGACUAUCGCCUAUUUUAGGAGAAUCAAUGUGCAGAUUUCUCAACCACUGUAAUUUUUUUUGAAUUAAUUGAGCCAUGAUCUAAGAAGAGAUGAAAACCCCAGAUGAUGAGCCCAGGAGCUGAGACUUCUUUUCCUCUGACGAUUGUAGCUGAUUCUGGAGAAGUAGCAAUUUUCACUAACUGAUGUGGUAACAAGAAAGACUGUGAGACUUGGAGAAUAUGCAAUAUCUGUAGCCAACUCUUAGAAGUAUGAACAUAAAAGGAACAAACAAAUGAAGUUCAAAGGGCUUGGAAAAACAACUCAUUGUCAAAGUACAAGAUUCAACAAUAUUCUCACCAAAGUACUCUUGUUCAGGAGUUGUGUAUCUUGGCUAGACAACUUUGAGAAAAGGAAACUCCAAUUUACCUCUGGAUCCAAUUUUCCAGUAUAAUACGUAAGUACAAAGUAUACCAGUGUUGACCUUGCUGAGUGCCAAGAAGUUAAAAUUACUCUAUUAAGUUUA